rnacentral:rRNA from 1 species
GAUUAACGCUGGCGGCGUGCCUAACACAUGCAAGUCGAACGAGGUAGCAAUACCUAGUGGCAGACGGGUGAGUAACGCGUGGUCAACCUACCGUUGAGUGGGGGAUAACUAGCCGAAAGGUUAGCUAAUACCGCAUACGUCUCCGAGGGGCAUCCCUUGGCGAUAAAAGGAGCAAUCCGCUCGAUGACGGGACCGCGUCCCAUUAGCUAGAUGGUGGGGUAACGGCCUACCAUGGCACCGAUGGGUAGCUGGUUUGAGAGAGCGACCAGCCACACUGGGACUGAGAAACGGCCCAGACUCCUACGGGAGGCAGCAGUGAGGAAUUUUCCGCAAUGGGCGCGAAGCCUGACGGAGCGACGCCGCGUGUGGGAAGAAGGCCUCGGUCGUAACAC